CCCCCGAUGGUCUAGUUGGAUAUGGCGGUCGGCUGUAAACCGACAGGUCGCCGGCUCGAUUCCGGCUCGGGGGA